CCUACGGGAGGCUGCAGUAGGGAAUAUUGGACAAUGGGCGCAAGCCUGAUCCAGCCAUCCCGCGUGAAGGAUUAAGGCCCUAUGGGUUGUAAACUUCUUUUCUCUGGGAAUAAAAAGUGGGAUUCUUCCCGCCUUGAAGGUACCAGAGGAAUAAGCACCUGCUAACUCCGUGCCAGCAGCCGCGGUAAUACGGAGGGUGCAAGCGUUAUCCGGAUUCACGGGUGCUAAAGUGUGCGUAGGUGUCAGUAGAGAAAUGCCGCAGCUCAACGGCGGAACUGCCAUUGAUACUGUUUAGCUUGAAUCACGUCGAGGUGGAUGGAAUAUUACAUGUAGCGGUGAAAUGCUUAGAUAUGUAAUAGAACACCGAUUGCGAAGGCAGUUCACUAGGCGUGCAUUGACACUGAGGCACGAAAGCGUGGGGAUCAAACAGGAUUAGAUACCCCUGUAGUC
rnacentral:rRNA from 1 species